rnacentral:rRNA from 1 species
AGUCGAGCGGACCGACGGGAGCUUGCUCCCUUAGGUCAGCGGCGGACGGGUGAGUAACACGUGGGUAACCUGCCUGUAAGACUGGGAUAACUCCGGGAAACCGGGGCUAAUACCGGAUGCUUGAUUGAACCGCAUGGUUCAAUCAUAAAAGGGGGCUUUUAACUACCACUUGCAGAUGGACCCGCGGCGCAUUAACUAGUUGGGGAAGGAACGGCUCACCCAGGCAACCAUGCCUAACCCAACUGAGAGGGUGAUCGGCCCCCCUGGGACUGAAACCCGGCCCAAACUCCUACGGGAGGCAGCAGUAAGGAAUCUUCCGCAAUGGACGAAAGUCUGAAGGAACAACCCCGCGUGAGUGAUGAAGGUUUUCCGAACGUAAAACUCUGUUGGUAAGGAAGAACAAGUACCGUUCGAAUAGGGCGGUACCUUGACGGUACCUAACCAGAAAGCCACGGCUAACUACCUGCCAGCAGCCGCGGUAAUACGUAGGUGGCAAGCGUUGUCCGGAAUUAUUGGGCGUAAAGCGCGCGCAGGCGGUUUCUUAAGUCUGAUGUGAAAGCCCCCGGCUCAACCGGGGAGGGUCAUUGGAAACUGGGGAACUUGA